rnacentral:rRNA from 1 species
GACGAACGCUGGCGGCGUGCCUAAUACAUGCAAGUCGGGCGGACCUCUUCGGAGGUCAGCGGCGGACGGGUGAGUAACACGUGGGCAACCUGCCUGUAAGACUGGGAUAACACCGGGAAACCGGUGCUAAUACCGGAUAAUCCUUUUCCUCACAUGAGGGGAAGCUGAAAGACGGUUUCGGCUGUCACUUACAGAUGGGCCCGCGGCGCAUUAGCUAGUUGGUGGGGUAACGGCCCACCAAGGCGACGAUGCGUAGCCGACCUGAGAGGGUGAUCGGCCACACUGGGACUGAGACACGGCCCAGACUCCUACGGGAGGCAGCAGUAGGGAAUCUUCCGCAAUGGACGAAAGUCUGACGGAGCAACGCCGCGUGAGCGAAGAAGGCCUUCGGGUCGUAAAGCUCCGUUGUCAGGGAAGAACACGUACCGGAGUAACUGCCGGUACCUUGACGGUACCUGACCAGAAAGCCACGGCUAACUACGUGCCAGCAGCCGCAGUAAGAC